CCAUAAUCCUCUCCUGCUUACGUCACGUAUCUGGAUGUGAUGGUGACCCUGUUGUAUUCACCCCUUAACCUCUUCCUGUCCCACCUCCCACCCUUGGCCUAUAAAAGGUAUGAUCAUUGCCUGAAUAAACAGCAGCUUGAUUGGAUUAUUUCGACUUGCUUUCAUCUCUCUUUGUCUCCCCCCAUGUCUUUUAUUUAAUCCCUGUUCCCCCUUCAGGAGUUCUCCAUGGAUUGAUCUGCAGGCCGGAUCAAGUGGCGCUCAGUGUGGGGGCUCCUGGCACGGAGGAGUUAAUGAGGGAGCCGUUUGAGAGACAGACAGCUUAAACUGAAAGUGAAAGCAAAUUGAACCAAAGACCGCGGCAAGGAGUGAGCAAACUGAAUCAAGGAUUAAACCUUAAAGCAACAGGACAUUAAAUUAAGUACUGAGGCCUGUGCAGACGACUACCCAACAUCCUGCCUGAGUCACGGUGACACAACUCCCUGGAGUCUUAUGCUGCCUAGUCAGCCUUCUUCUUGAGCCAUACCACACCCAUGGUGGAUUUCGACCCCUGCCAAACAGACUACAACUGCUGACAGCCAUGCAUAGAACCCCGUGACUGUGGAAGAGGCUCUUCUUGGUCUGGAGGAACAUACACCAGCCAAAUAGCCUGUGUCCAAUGUUAUGCAAGGCAUGCUCCAAGACAUAGGAGAAUGACUUCAACAGAGACACUGACAAAUGGCUGUCAACCCCUUCUCCUCGAUAUGAGUGUGUGGGGGGGAGUUUUUCCCUUACCUAGUGCCACUUUUGGGUCCCCUAGCUGCCCUAUUGCUUCUCCUUUCUGUGAGUCCUUGUAUUUUAUGAUGCUCAUUAAUAACUGGAUAGAUGCAUUUAUGGCAAAGCCCAUUCAGGUACACUAUCGUCAGCUGGAGAUGGCAGAUCAACAAACUUACCAGGAAGGAUUUCCCACGAGUGGCCCAUAUGACAAUGUGGCCUAACUGCCCUGGGGCAAUGGACAGGCAGUCAGAGAUGGGCAACUAGGACAUGCAUGUUAAUUCCAAUGGCCACCUAAGACAGGCACAGGACCAACUGUUGUUCUGCAAGCCCAUGACAGGUAAGGCCUGGUUGGGUCCAUGCAAUGAGGUCCUUGACCUAAGACAGACGCUGUCCGACAGGGCCUGCCAUACUCUUGAUUAAAUAAUAUAAAAAGGGAGGAGAUGUAGGGAGCUGAGUGACAGCCCAUUGCUGCCUCCCUGCCUCUCUCUCCUAUGGGCACUGCGUCUGCCUACAUUAACCAUAAUCCUCUCCUGCUUACGUCACGUAUCCGGAUGUGACGGUGCCCCUGUUGUAUUCACCCCUUAACCUCUUCCUGUCCCACCUCCCGCCCUUGGCCUAUAAAAGGUGUGAUCAUUUCCUGAAUAAACGGAAGCUUGAUUGGAUUAUUUCAACUUGCUUUCAUCUCUCUUUGUCUCCCCCCAUGUCUUUUAUUUAAUCCCCGAUCCCCCUUCAGGAGUUCUCCAUGGAUUGAUCUGCAGGCCGGAUCAAACCCCAACCGUGCUCUCAUUUUGUUCUGUAUGCAUCAAAAUUUCUAAGUUUCAAAUCCUUGUAAAAACUUAGGUUUCAGCUUCUUGUAACUUUCAAGCCCUUCACACCUGUUAGUGAUGAGCUUUCCUAAGAUAAUUAACUUUCUACUUUCUUUUCCAAAUGUUAUUGCAGAUGUGCAAUUCCAAGAUAAUGCUUAUCUGCAGGACGGGAGUAACUUGAAAGGCACCAAAGGCUCCCAAGGUUGUCAGAACUAAGUGGACAGCUUUACAGUUUCCAGAUUUGGGUCAACAGUUAAAUGGCUCUGCGGAUUUUUUUUGUCCCCCCACCUCCUGCUUUUUAAAUCCCCUUCUCCAAUCUCUGGCGUGCAGUCUCCAAAUUGGCUCUUGGAGACUUGUCGCCAGGCCUGGCCUAAAUAAAGCCUUUGCUCCCCAAA